UACGUAGGGGGCAAGCGUUGUCCGGAUUUAUUGGGCGUAAAGAGCUCGUAGGCGGUCUGUCGCGUCGAUCGUGAAAACUUGGGGCUUAACCCUGAGCUUGCGGUCGAUACGGGCAUGACUGGAGUUCGGCAGGGGAGACUGGAAUUCCUGGUGUAGCGGUGAAAUGCGCAGAUAUCAGGAGGAACACCGGUGGCGAAGGCGGGUCUCUGGGCAGUAACUGACGCUGAGGAGCGAAAGCGUGGGGAGCGAACAGG
rnacentral:rRNA from 1 species